rnacentral:rRNA from 1 species
CGUAGCCGCGGGAAUACGUAGGUGGCAAGCGUUGUCCGGAAUUAUUGGGCGUAAAGGGCUCGCAGGCGGUUUCUUAAGUCUGAUGUGAAAGCCCCCGGCUCAACCGGGGAGGGUCAUUGGAAACUGGGAAACUUGAGUGCAGAAGAGGAGAGUGGAAUUCCACGUGUAGCGGUGAAAUGCGUAGAGAUGUGGAGGAACACCAGUGGCGAAGGCGACUCUCUGGUCUGUAACUGACGCUGAGGAGCGAAAGCGUGGGGAGCGAACAGGAUUAGAUACCCCUGUAGUCCCUGUCUCUUAUACA